rnacentral:rRNA from 1 species
CACGUAGGGCGCAAGCGUUGUCCGGAAUUAUUGGGCGUAAAGAGCUCGUAGGCGGUCUGUUGCGUCCGCUGUGAAAACUCGGGGCUUAACCCCGAGCCUGCAGUGGAUACGGGCAGACUAGAGGUAGGUAGGGGAGAAUGGAAUUCCCGGUGUAGCGGUGAAAUGCGCAGAUAUCUGGAGGAACACCGGUGGCGAAGGCGGCAUCCUGGACCGGCAUUGACGCUGAGGCGCGAAAGCCAGGGGAGCAAAGCGGG